rnacentral:rRNA from 1 species
UACGAAGGGGGCUAGCGUUGUUCGGAAUUACUGGGCGUAAAGCGCGUGUAGGCGGGUCUUUAAGUCAGCGGUGAAAUGCCAAGGCUCAACCUUGGAACUGCCUUUGAUACUGGAGAUCUUGAGUCCGGGAGAGGUGAGUGGAAUUGCGAGUGUAGAGGUGAAAUUCGUAGAUAUUCGCAAGAACACCAGUGGCGAAGGCGGCUCACUGGCCCGGAACUGACGCUGAGACGCGAAAGCGUGGGGAGCAAACAGG